rnacentral:rRNA from 1 species
UUGGAGGGCAAGUCUGGUGCCAGCAGCCGCGGUAAUUCCAGCUCCAAUAGCGUAUAUUAAAGUUGUUGCAGUUAAAAAGCUCGCAGUUGAACCUUGGGCUUGGCUGGCCGGUCCGCCUAACCGCGUGCACUGGUUCGGCCGAGCCUUUCCUUCCGGCUAUCCGCAUGCCCUUCACUGGGUGUGCUGGGGAUCCGGGACUUUUACUUUGAAAAAAUUAGAGUGUUCAAAGCAGGCCUACGCUCGAAUACAUUAGCAUGGAAUAAUAGAAUAGG